CAAGUCGAGCGAAUGGAUUAAGAGCUUGCUCUUUUGACGUUAGCGGCGGACGGGUGAGUAACACGUGGGUAACCUGCCCUUUAGACUGGGAUAACUCCGGGAAACCGGGGCUAAUACCGAAUAAUCUUUUUAACCUCAUGGUGCAAAAUUGAAAGACGGCUUCGGCUGUCACUUAUGGAUGGACCCGCGUCGCAUUAGCUAGUUGGUGAGGUAACGGCUCACCAAGGCAACGAUGCGUAGCCGACCUGAGAGGGUGAUCGGCCACACUGGGACUGAGACACGGCCCAGACUCCUACGGGAGGCAGCAGUAGGGAAUCUUCCGCAAUGGACGAAAGUCUGAUGGAGCAACGCCGCGUGAGUGAAGAAGGCUUUCGGGUCGUAAAACUCUGUUGUUAGGGAAGAAC
rnacentral:rRNA from 1 species